rnacentral:sRNA from 1 species
ACAUGAGAAGGGAGGUGAUCCGAGAAGUGAUUUCACAUCGGACCCAUGAGGUGGUCGCGCGCUAGUCGCGUGACGCGUAAGCGUUUCGCGCCGACGGCGGUCGGGGGGCUCAGCACGGGGCCUUCCUGACCAGCUCAGGCGCAACGGGACACUGGUGGCGAUUUCCUCGCGACCACCGGAGCCCGCGGGUGCCGUGCCCUCGUCCAGCACGGCUGACAUUCGUCGCCCCGCGGGCUUUCCCGC